UCCUAAGGGCACCGUGGACGACAGGGAGUUAAUUGAAUACUUUAAGUCUCAGAUGAAAGAAGAUCCUGACAUGGCCUCAGCGGUGGUUGCCAUCCGGACUUUACUGGAGUUUUUGAAGAGAGAUAAAAGGGAGACAAUCCAAGGCCUGAGAGCAAACCUCACCAGUGCAAUAGAGACCCUGUGUGGUGUGGACUCCUCUGUGGCAGUGUCCUCUGGCAGGGAGCUCUUUCUUCGCUUCAUCAGCCUUACCUCCCUGGAAUACUUUGAUUACUCCAAAUGUAAAAAGAUUAUGAUUGAGCGGGGAGAACUUUUUCUCUUUUUUUUUUUUUUUUUUUGGCGGCGCCUGUGGCUCAGUAGAAAUAAGAUUGCAGAUUUGUGCCAUACUUUCAUCAAAGAUGGAGCAAAAAUACUGACUCACGCCUACUCCAGAGUGGUCCUGAGAGUCCUAGAAGCAGCUGUGGCAGCCAAGAAGAGAUUCAGUGUAUACAGAGUCACAGCCUGAUUUAUCAGGUAAGAAAAUGGCCAAAGCCCUCUGCCAGCUCAACAUCCCUGUCACUGUGGUGCUGGAUGCUGCUGUUGGUUAUAUCAUGGAGAAAGCAGAUCUUGUCAUAGUUGGUGCAGAAGGAGUUGUUGAAAACGGAGGAAUUAUUAACAAGAUUGGAACCAACCAGAUGGCUGUGUGUGCCAAAGCACAGAACAAGCCUUUUUAUGUGGUUGCAGAAAGUUUCAAGUUUGUGCGGCUCUUUCCACUAAACCGGCAAGAUGUCCCAGAUAAGUUCAAGUAUAAAGCACAUACUCUCAGGUCUGUGCAGACUGGACAAGAUCUCAGAGAGGAGCAUCCGUGGGUCGACUACACUGCCCCUUCUCUAAUCACGCUGCUGUUUACAGACCUGGGAGUGCUGACCCCCUCAGCAGUCAGUGAUGAACUCAUCAAGCUCUAUCUAUAACCACCAGGCCCUCUCCUGCUAAUGUACAGCUGAGGUGAGCAGCCACAUGACCUCCCAGUGAGCCAGGCCAAAACGGAAUUGUUUUUUAUUGAAGAUUGAUGGACUAAGGAUUUAAAAUUAUAAAUUGUAGAGAAUCUUUCUUAUUUCAGUCCCACCUAAAACUUAUCCAUGGUUCUGAAACCCAACCUAAACGUGCUUACAGUUUCCAGAACGAAAAGUUAGAUUAUAGGCUACUUAACCAAUGAAAGGUGUACCUAAGUCCACUUCCUUUCAUCCUCCCCUGCACUCCAGACUGAUUUGCCAAACACAUCCAUAAAAGAUAAAGGCUGAAAAGCAGCCAUUCCCAACUACAACCAUGCCCUCUCCAAUAAAUGGCUAACAGCUGGCCGGGACAUAAAUUACACAUGUGAGAAAGGGAAGGCAUAAGGAACAAUACUGAAUUUGCAUCUGGCCUUCCGUGCUGAACACGUCCCAGCAGGAUCAAGACAAAUAGAAUAAAAAACAUACACAAGGAAAGCAGAAAUAGCAUUUAGCAGUAAGAUCCUGCAUCACCACUGAAGGAGAUGCCUUCCAAAAUAUGUGUAAACUGAAAUUCUGUAUCUGUAAAAGGUGUGAACUUUCCUUUAAACAUAUUUGGGACUAAAUAGCUUUUUUAAAUUACAUUUGAGAACAAAGUUACAUCUUUUCAAAUAAAUUAUAAGAAUUUUGGAAAAAAAAGUAAAGAUGUAAAUAUGGUAACAGGUAUAUGGGUAUAGAUUACUUUCCACCUGUAUGAUUAUAGUCUUAGAAAAUUCUCUAAAAAUUGAAUUGUUGAAAAAAAUUCAAUUGUUGAAUCAAAACUAGGGAUACUGGGAAGUACUACUCAGCUGACUUCCAAUAAAGUUUUGCAAGUUUACGCUCCCACAUUGUUUUCCACACAUUGACUUCCUUGCCAGAGAAUGAAAAGGAAGACAUUGUCUUC